rnacentral:rRNA from 1 species
UACGUAGGGUGCAAGCGUUGUCCGGAAUUAUUGGGCGUAAAGAGCUCGUAGGCGGUUUGUUGCGUCGGCUGUGAAAACCUGAGGCUCAACCUCAGGCCUGCAGUCGAUACGAGCAGACUAGAGUGUUGCAGGGGAGACUGGAAUUCCUGGUGUAGCGGUGAAAUGCGUAGAUAUCAGGAGGAACACCGGUGGCGAAGGCGGGUCUCUGGGCCGAUACUGACGCUGAGGAGCGAAAGCGUGGGGAGCGAACCGG